ACUCACACCUGCAGGCUUUACAGUAACCCUAAAAAAGACUCUGCUCCUCCACCCUUUGUGUUGUGCGUGCCUCUGCUGCAAAGGCUGGAGGUAAAUUAUUCUCUGCCUGGAGCUUGGCUUUUAAAGUUGUUGGAGAAAAUCCCCUACGUGUGUUCAAGCACCUCCAGUUGGGAAUCACCGACCACUUAAUCUAUGAGGCCCUUGUCAACUUUAAGAUUCUCUGAGUCUGGAAAACUGAGAGCAAAUGGAAGUUUACCAUCCAACGUGGGCACU